rnacentral:rRNA from 1 species
GACGGAGGAUGCAAGUGUUAUCCGGAAUCACUGGGCGUAAAGCGUCUGUAGGUGGUCAAAUAAGUCAACUGUUAAAUCUUGAGGCUCAACCUCAAAAUCGCAGUCGAAACUAUUCGACUAGAGUAUAGUAGGGGUAAAGGGAAUUUCCAGUGGAGCGGUGAAAUGCGUAGAGAUUGGAAAGAACACCGAUGGCGAAGGCACUUUACUGGGCUAUUGCUAACACUGAGGCGCGACAGCGUGGGGAGCAAACAGG